UGUCAAGAAAAGUGAGGUUUACUGUGUCCGUAAAGAAUCUAAUUAAGAAAAGUGACUUUAACUGUGUCAGUAAAGAACCUAAUUGUGAAAAUGGGAGGUUAACUCUGUCGGUAAAAAGCUCCACACGAAAACCAAAUGAAGUCUAACAAGUUAUGGAUGGUAUAAUGGCAUACCUGACUGCACCACAAAUCCAAAUUGGCAGAUUAGAGACUGUUGUUCAUGCGAAAAACCCACAAAACUGAAAUUCAAACUCAAGUGUAGGAGGUAAGCUUUCGCCAACGGCGACGGCGACGACGACGACGCGGAUGACGACGGAAAAAGUGAUUGAUAUUCAAUCGAUACACAUCAAUCGCCUCCGAUCCGGGGAGGUGGUACCGGGUUUGCGUGUGUUCGUGCAGUCAACUAUAAAACAAAAUGUGCCGGUCAUGCUUCGGGAGGGUCCCACUCAAACAACACAUCAGCGACGCCACUGGGAGCAACGAUGGAUGGAACAAAGCGGGAUCCUUUCCGGGGGAAAAGGUGGG